UACGGGGGGGGCAAGCGUUGUUCGGAAUUACUGGGCGUAAAGCGCGUGUAGGCGGCCUGGUAAGUCCGCUGUGAAAGUCGGGGGCUCAACCCUCGGAUGCCGGUGGAUACUGUCGGGCUAGAGUGCGGGAGAGGCGAGUGGAAUUCCUGGUGUAGCGGUGAAAUGCGCAGAUAUCAGGAGGAACACCAAUUGCGAAGGCAGCUCGCUGGAACGUUACUGACGCUGAGACGCGAAAGCGUGGGGAGCAAACAGG
rnacentral:rRNA from 1 species